UACGAAGGGGGCUAGCGUUGCUCGGAAUCACUGGGCGUAAAGCGCACGUAGGCGGCUUUUAAGUCAGGGGUGAAAUCCUGGAGCUCAACUCCAGAACUGCCUUUGAUACUGAGAAGCUUGAGUCCGGGAGAGGUGAGUGGAACUGCGAGUGUAGAGGUGAAAUUCGUAGAUAUUCGCAAGAACACCAGUGGCGAAGGCGGGUCUCUGGGCCGUAACUGACGCUGAGGAGCGAAAGCGUGGGGAGCGAACAGG
rnacentral:rRNA from 1 species